UGGCAAUGAUGAUAAAUUAAAGGCUUGUUGCUCACAACAUUCGCAGUUGCUGCCUAAGAGGUUUCGCCCUGCCAGGCUGGAGAGCUAGUGUUGCUAAUUCCUUCCUGGACGUCUGAGCCU
rfam:Triticum aestivum genome assembly, contig: Triticum_aestivum_CS42_TGACv1_scaffold_030847_1BL